rnacentral:pre_miRNA from 1 species
AAAGCCUUGCUUGGUAUGGAGGAUGGAAAAGAGUGAAGAUGGAAAAUUUAUUAAUCAAAAGGCCAAGAUUCACAAUCACUUUCCUACUUUGUAACUUAACCAUUAGAUUGACAAAUUUUCUAUCCUACCUCUUUUCCAUCCUUCGUACCAAACAAAGCUUA